GUUAUACAUAACCACGUUGAUAAGAGCACUUUCUGUGGGUUGGUAAAAGGAUCAAGGGGUGAUGUAACCAUCACAAUAUCGAGUAAAGUUGGAGAAAGGUGCUGUCCUGAGGGCCAUUUGUGCUGGUUUUGAGCAACCAACUGAGCCAACUGCCAACUGUUUGUUUGAGUGGUGAUGUAGAGACAAAUGAGUGCUUGGAUAAUAGUGGGGGUUGCUGGCAAGAUAUAGGAGCCAACAUCACAGCCUGCAAGGAUACAUUCCGUGGGAGGGUAUGUGAAUGCCCCCUGGUUAAUGGUGUGCAGUUCAAAUGAGAUGGCUACAGCCACUGUGAAGGUGAGAUUGUUGUACAUUUAGUCUCUAUAUUUGUGUAAGUUUAAUUAAGAGAUGAAUUUUAAUCUGAUGAAUGCGUUAUUUGAGAAUCAUCGUUUCUUUCACAUAUUGUGAACUUGAGAGUUCUGCUGACUAAACCAAGGAAAUGAUGUUAAUGUUAUAAUAUUUUGAUUUA